GGGUAACCUGCCUGUAAGAUGGGAUAACUCCGGGAAACCGGGGCUAAUACCGGAUGCUUGUUUGAACCGCAUGGUUCAAACAUAAAAGGUGGCUUCGGCUACCACUUACAGAUGGACCCGCGGCGCAUUAGCUAGUUGGUGAGGUAAUGGCUCACCAAGGCAACGAUGCGUAGCCGACCUGAGAGGGUGAUCGGCCACACUGGGACUGAGACACGGCCCAGACUCCUACGGGAGGCAGCAGUAGGGAAUCUUCCGCAAUGGACGAAAGUCUGACGGAGCAACGCCGCGUGAGUGAUGAAGGUUUUCGGAUCGUAAAGCUCUGUUGUUAGGGAAGAACAAGUACCGUUCGAAUAGGGCGGUACCUUGACGGUACCUAACCAGAAAGCCACGGCUAACUACGUGCCAGCAGCCGCGGUAAUACGUAGGUGGCAAGCGUUGUCCGGAAUUAUUGGGCGUAAAGGGCUCGCAGGCGGUUUCUUAAGUCUGAUGUGAAAGCCCCCGGCUCAACCGGGGAGGGUCAUUGGAAACUGGGGAACUUGAGCGCAGAAGAGGAGAGUGGAAUUCCACGUGUAGCGGUGAAAUGCGUAAAGAUGUGGAGGAACACCAGUGGCGAAGGCGACUCUCUGGUCUGUAACUCGACGCUGAGGA
rnacentral:rRNA from 1 species